GGCGCGUGACUGACGGAAAGCGGACAACCGCAAGGGAGCGCGGCCGUAUAAAGCCGACCGUCUGGGCAUACU
rnacentral:ncRNA from 1 species